CUCUUUCUUGGGUAACGAUUCAUUCAUGAUUUAACUGACUGAGAAUCAUAACACUCAUUGUCAGGGAAUGAAUCAUUCACGAAGUAAAUGAAUGAGAAUUGUGAAACUCAUUCUUGGGUAAUUAUUCAGUCAC